rnacentral:rRNA from 1 species
GACGAACGCUGGCGGCGUGCUUAACACAUGCAAGUCGAACGAUGAAGCACCAGCUUGCUGGUGUGGAUUAGUGGCGAACGGGUGAGUAACACGUGAGUAACCUGCCCCUCACUCUGGGAUAAGCCUGGGAAACUGGGUCUAAUACUGGAUACGACCGAUCUCCGCAUGGAGUGUUGGUGGAAAGUUUUUGUGGUGGGGGAUGGACUCGCGGCCUAUCAGCUUGUUGGUGGGGUAAUGGCCUACCAAGGCGACGACGGGUAGCCGGCCUGAGAGGGCGACCGGCCACACUGGGACUGAGACACGGCCCAGACUCCUACGGGAGGCAGCAGUGGGGAAUAUUGCACAAUGGGCGAAAGCCUGAUGCAGCGACGCCGCGUGAGGGAUGACGGCCCUCGGGUUGUAAACCUCUUUCACCAGGGACGAAGCUAACGUGACGGUACCUGGAGAAGAAGCACCGGCUAACUACGUGCCAGCAGCCGCGGUAAUACGUAGGGUGCGAGCGUUGUCCGGAAUUAUUGGGCGUAAAGAGCUUGUAGGCGGUUUGUCGCGUCUGCUGUGAAAGACCGGGGCUUAACUCCGGUUCUGCAGUGGGUACGGGCAGACUAGAGUGUGGUAGGGGAGACUGGAAUUCCUGGUGUAGCGGUGAAAUGCGCAGAUAUCAGGAGGAACACCGAUGGCGAAGGCAGGUCUCUGGGCCAUUACUGACGCUGAGAAGCGAAAGCAUGGGGAGCGAACAGG